AAGGGUAUAGCUCAGUGGUAGAGCAUGUGCUUAGCAUGCACGAGGUCCUGGGUUCAAUCCCCAGUCCCUCCA
rnacentral:tRNA from 1 species